rnacentral:sRNA from 1 species
UUUUUUUUCUCUUGUCUUUUCUUUUCUAU